rnacentral:rRNA from 2 species
GCGUAAUAGCUCACUAGUCGAGUGACCCUGCGCCGAAAAUGUACCGGGGCUAAAACAUAUUACCGAAGCUGUGGAUACCUUUUAGGUAUGGUAGGAGAGCGUUCUAUGUGUGAAGAAGGUGUACCGUGAGGAGCGCUGGAACGCAUAGAAGUGAGAAUGCCGGUAUGAGUAGCGAAAGACAGGUGAGAAUCCUGUCCACCGUAAGACUAAGGUUUCCAGGGGAAGGCUCGUCCGCCCUGGGUUAGUCGGGACCUAAGGAGAGACCGAAAGGUGUAUCCGAUGGCCAACAGGUUGAUAUUCCUGUACUAGAGUAUAUAGUGAAGGAGGGACGCAGUAGGCUAACUAAAGCGUGCGAUUGGAAGAGCACGUCUAAGCAGUGAGGUGUGAUAUGAGUCAAAUGCUUAUAUCUAUAACAUUGAGCUGUGAUGGGGAGCGAAGUUAAGUAGCGAAGUUAGUGAUGUCACACUGCCAAGAAAAGCUUCUAGCGUUAAUUAUACUCUACCCGUACCGCAAACCGACACAGGUAGUCGAGGCGAGUAGCCUCAGGUGAGCGAGAGAACUCUCGUUAAGGAACUCGGCAAAAUGGCCCCGUAACUUCGGGAGAAGGGGCGCUGGCUUAGAGUCAGCCGCAGUGAAUAGGCCCAAGCAACUGUUUAUCAAAAACACAGCUCUCUGCUAAAUCGUAAGAUGAUGUAUAGGGGGUGACGCCUGCCCGGUGCUGGAAGGUUAAGAGGAGUGGUUAGCUUCGGCGAAGCUACGAAU